UACGUAGGGUGCAAGCGUUAUCCGGAAUUAUUGGGCGUAAAGAGCUCGUAGGCGGCUUGUCGCGUCUGCUGUGAAAACCCGAGGCUCAACCUCGGGCCUGCAGUGGGUACGGGCAGACUAGAGUGCGGUAGGGGAGAUUGGAAUUCCUGGUGUAGCGGUGGAAUGCGCAGAUAUCAGGAGGAACACCGAUGGCGAAGGCAGAUCUCUGGGCCGUAACUGACGCUGAGGAGCGAAAGCGUGGGGAGCGAACAGG
rnacentral:rRNA from 1 species